CUUUUUUUUUUUUUUUUUUUUUUUUUUUUUUUUUUUUUUUUUUUUCCUCCCCAGUUCUG
rnacentral:ribozyme from 13 species